ACGGAAGGCAGCAGUGGGGAAUAUUGCACAAUGGGCGAAAGCCUGAUGCAGCGACGCCGCGUGAGUGAAGAAGUAUUUCGGUAUGUAAAGCUCUAUCAGCAGGGAAGAAAAUGACGGUACCUGACUAAGAAGCCCCGGCUAACUACGUGCCAGCAGCCGCGGUAGUACGUAGGGGGCAAGCGUUAUCCGGAUUUACUGGGUGUAAAGGGAGCGUAGACGGCUUUGCAAGUCUGAAGUGAAAGCUCGGGGCUCAACUCCGGAACUGCUUUGGAAACUGUAGAGCUAGAGUGCAGGAGAGGUAAGUGGAAUUCCUAGUGUAGCGGUGAAAUGCGUAGAUAUUAGGAGGAACACCAGUGGCGAAGGCGGCUUACUGGACUGUAACUGACGUUGAGGCUCGAAAGCGUGGGGAGCAAACAGGAUUAGAUACCCUGGUA
rnacentral:rRNA from 1 species